rnacentral:rRNA from 1 species
UCCGGUUGAUCCUGCCAGCGGCCACCGCUAUAGGAAUUCGAUUAAGACAUGCGAGUCGAGAGUCGCAACAGACUCGGCGGACUGCUCAGUAACACGUGGAGAACGUGCCCUUAAGCGGGGGAUAAUCUCGGGAAAUUGAGGAUAAUACCCCAUAGGUCAUGGGACCUGGAAUGGCCCAAGGCCGAAAGCUCCGGCGCUUAAGGAUCGCUCUGCGGCCUAUCAGGUAGUAGUGGGUGUAAGGUACCCCCUAGCCGACGACGGGUAUGGGCCUUGAGAGAGGGAGCCCAGAGUUGGAUUCUGAGACACGAAUCCAGGCCCUACGGGGCGCAGCAGUCGCGAAAACUUCACAAUGGGGGCAACCCCGAUGAGGGGAUUCCUAGUGCCAGGGCGUUUAGCUCUGGCUUUUC